rnacentral:rRNA from 1 species
UACGAAGGGGGCUAGCGUUGCUCGGAAUUACUGGGCGUAAAGCGCACGUAGGCGGCUUUGUAAGUUAGAGGUGAAAGCCUGGGGCUCAACUCCAGAAUUGCCUUUAAGACUGCAUCGCUUGAACGUCGGAGAGGUGAGUGGAAUUCCGAGUGUAGAGGUGAAAUUCGUAGAUAUUCGGAAGAACACCAGUGGCGAAGGCGGCUCACUGGACGACUGUUGACGCUGAGGUGCGAAAGCGUGGGGAGCGAACAGG